ACAUUGGGAUGUAUCUAUCUAGAUUCUAUCAAUCUUUCUGUAUUUGCUGUUUGACCCUCACCUCUGUGUCUCUGUGUAGGAUCACUAAAGGGGAUGCUGGGCCAAUGAGAACCAUGUGGGUCAUGUGGUCAGUUGUUACGGCUCUCCUUGUCGCCAUGCUGCUCAGUAUCGCCCAUUCAGAGCUGCAGGAAGGAGCCCUCAUUCCAGAUCCAGACACACGGGAUAGGGCCAAUGAAGAUUCCACCCCCACCCCCUCGUCUGAACAUGAAGAUGACAACUCUCUAGGCUAUACAGGUACUGCAAGGAUCUCUCUCUCUCUCUCUCUGUAUCUCUCUUUCUAUAAGAAUUCCAUUUCAGCCUUGAAUGCUAUUGUUUACUCUUAAAAAUGGCAAUAUAUGGGUUAUGUAGCCAAAUUUGCAAUAUUUGAAAGCACAUACUUUACAUUCAGGUCAGGAAUGUAAUGUAGAUCAACAGAGUCAAUAUAUUAUUUUAGCAACGCUAGUCUGGAUAAAUAGACCAUAUAAACUCAGAAAUAAAAAAAAGAUACGUCCCUUUUUCAGGACCCUGUCUUUCAAAGAUAAUUCAUGAAAAUCCUAAUAACUUCACAGAUCUUCAUUGUAAAGGGUUUAAUCACUGUUUCCCAUGCUUGUUCAAUGAACCACAAACAAUUAAUGAACAUGCAACGGUGGAACGGUCAUUAAGGCACUAACAGCUUCCAGACGUUAGACAAUUAAGGUCACAGUUAUGAAAACUUAGGACACUAAAGAGGCCUUUCUACUGACUCUGAAAAACACCAAAAGGAAGAUACCCAGGGUCCCUGCUCAUCUGUGUGAACGUGCCUUAGGCAUGCUGCAAGGAGGCAUGAGGACUGCAGAUGUGGCCAGGGCAAUACAUAUCAAUGUCCGUACUGUGAGACGCCUAAGACAGCGCUACAGGGAGACAGGACGGACAGCUGAUCGUCCUCGCAGUUGCAGACCACGUGUAACAACACCUGCACAGGAUCGGUACAUCUGCGGGACAGGUACAGGAUGGCAACAACAACUGCCCGAGUUACACCAGGAACUCACAAUCACUCCAUCAGUGCUCAGACUGUCCGCAAUAGGCUGGGAGAGGCUGGACUGAGGGCUUGUAGGCCAGUUGCAAG
rnacentral:lncRNA from 13 species